GGGGACGUUUUGGAUUAGACAGGACGUUUCGGUGAGGGUAUGCAGCGUGUCGGAGAGCUGUUCUCCGUUAUCAACGGGCAAUUAAAUUAAAUGCUAACGAUGUAAUUGAAGCUGAUUUUUCAAGAGCAGUUGCAAAAGCUGCCUAAGUCAGUGCUUAGCUACUUAUAAAGCCCAGCUUGCCGGUUUUAUAGGUCCAUUAUGCAAGCGGCAAUACGUUGAUGCAAAGUAGGCGUACCAAGAUUACUUUGCAAGGUUUAGAGUUUCCUUUAAAUAAAACCUAGGAUUAAUUCGUAUGGUUUAGACUUUUCCCUGAAUUAAUUGAGCAAAAAAUAGUCUACGCAUGUAGAAGUAUAUUUUCAUCCGUUUUGGACAGGGGUUCGACUCCCCUCGUCUCCACCA
rnacentral:tmRNA from 1 species